GAUGAACGCUGGCGGCGUGCCUAAUACAUGCAAGUCGAGCGAACGGACGCGAAGUUUGUUUCUUUGACGUUAGCGGCGGACGGGAGAGUAACAUGUGGAUAACCUACCUAUAAGACUGGGAUAAUUUCGGGAAAUCGGAGCUUAUACCGGAUGAUAUUUUGAACCGCAUUGUUCAAAAGUGAAAGACGGUUUUGCUGUUACUUAUAGAUGGAUCCGCGCUGCAUUAGCUAGUUGUUAAGCUAACUGCUUACCAAGGCAACGAUGCAUAGCCGACCUCAGAGGGAGAUCGCCCACAUGGGAAGUGAGACACGGUCCGCACACCGACGAGAGGCAGCAGUAGAGAAUCUUACGCAGUGGGCGAAAGCCUGACGGAGCAACGCGGCGUAAGUGGUGAAGUUCUUGGGAUCGUAAAGCUCUGUUUUUAGGGAGGAACAUAUGUGUAAGUAGCUGUGCACAUCGUGACGGUACCUAAUCAGAAAGCCACGGCUAACUACGUG
rnacentral:rRNA from 1 species